AUGGCCUCGUCCGCAUCCUUGCUCCACGCUUCCACGCUCGCUCCAGCCUCCUCGCGGCCCCUGCCGCGUCGCGGGCUUGCCCCGCCGCAGCUCGGCCUCCGCUCCAGCCCCCGCCGUCCCCGCGGCGUCUCGCUGACCGUCGCCGCCGCCGCGUCGCCGGACGUCGAGAAGGCGCCCUCCUCGUCACCCCCUGCGCCUUCGGACGAGCCCUCCGACCUAUCGGCCGUGGCGGAGAGCGUGAAGGUGCUCAAGGACGCGGCCAAGACGAGGAAGGUGCCGGCCCCGGAGGUGCUGGCGGCGCUGGCCAAGAUCAAGAAGGCCAAGCUCGACACCUCCAGCUUCUUCGAGACCCUCGGCGGGACCGAGUCCCCCGGCAGGACAUGGAUGCUCAUCUUCACCGCCCAGGGUAGUAAGCUCGAGAAAGGCAGCUACUUCCCGGUGACCGCCGUCCAGCGCUUCGACGCCGCGGGGCAGAGGAUUGAGAACGGGGUGUACCUGGGCCCGGCGGGGAGCCUGACCUUCGAGGGGCGGCUGUCAUGGAAGAAGAAGAUCCUGGCCUUCGUCUUCGAGCGGAUCCGCGUCAAGGUCGGUCCGCUGCCCUCCCUGGAGAUCCCCUUCGGCGGCGGCGACAAGAGCAGGGAGCCGAGCACCAAGGACCCCUUCUUCCUGUGGUUCUACGUCGACGAGGAGAUUGCCGUGGCGCAGGGCAAGGGCGGCGGCACCGCAUUCUGGUGCCGCUGCAGGCGCGUCCCGGCAUGA
rnacentral:rRNA from 1 species